AGCAAAUUCACCCAAAGGUCAGAUCGAGCAAUGUUCAGAGAAUGUCAUGGUCUUAUGCAGGUCUUAUGCAGACUUUUGCCAUGGUUAACGUUUGGUUCUUUAUUGGUAACUUUAGACAUGGUUAAGUAACAGGAAAACCUAUAAGUGAGAUUAUAGGUGAUAGGAAAUAGAACCUAAAUUAUAGGCAAUAGAUAGGAGAACCUUUAAGCAAAAUGAUAAUCAAUAGGUAGAAGGAGAACCUAUAAGUGAAAUCAUAGGCAAGAGAUAGGAAAAAUAACAGAAAGAGUUUAGGCAAUAAGCUCCAGACAGGUUAUUAACAGGAUAUAAUUUGAUAGUAAGAAAACCUAUAGAUGAAAAUAUAGGUUAUAUAGAGAGUCAAGAAAAACAGAAUAGUAAGGACAAGUAAAAUAGACGUUUAGAGAAUCAGUCACCUUGUUUAGAAGGAGCACGGAUCAUGCAGGUAAAUUAUUUUUUGCAACAUUGAUUAGUAGCGUAGUUCAGGUAGGUAUUAUGCAGGCUGGUAAUAUAAAGCAGGUUGUUAGUAUAGAUCAGGUUUGUAGCGUAGUACAGUUUGGUAACAAAGCAGGUUGGUUGUGUAGAUCAGGUUGGUGUAAAGAAGCUUGGUAGUGUAGAUCAGGUUGGUAUUCAACAGGCUGGUAACAAAGUAGGUAAGUUUAUAGGAGUCAGGAACAGAAGUCUUUCAGGUAGACCAUCAACUUCAUUGUAAGGGUCCAGUAUUGAGCUGGGUGAGGCCUUUUGUAUAAGUAAUCAGCCCAGGCAGGUGAGGUAGAGUGAAGAAAAGUUCAGUCCUAGUGGUUACGGAGGCCACAAGGGGUGGAAAGUUGGAAUUGUUGUAAUGAAACAGAUAAAAGAAACAUAAUUUUGGUUGUCAGGAUUAGAUUCUGACAGAGAAAUUGCAAAAAACAAAAAAAGAGUUAAUUCACAGACUCUACAGGCAUCCGUUAGCAUGCUAAAUGUUAAAGUUCGUGACAGUACAAUUAGAAAAAGACUGAACAAGUAUGGUUUGUUUGAAAGGGUUGCAAAGAGAAAGACUCUUCUCUACAAUAAGAACAUUAUAGCCAGGGACGUAUUAGCCGCGAGCAAACAAGGCAUUUGCCUUGGGCGGCAUUUUUCAGGGGGCGGCAAAAAACGCCGCCCCAAAUGCCCAGGACAAAUGCCUUGUUAGCCUUGCGGCUAACUAACAUGCCGGGCGGGCGGGCGGUGCUGGCUGAUGGGCGGGCGGACGGCUGGCGAGGGAGCUCUUCCU